AAAAUGUGCAGCUAUUUGUAAUUGAUGUUAUUCCUCUGUAGGGUUUAUUGAGGAUGUCUGUUUCUGGCUCAUGAACCCCGAGUUCUCUAGCAUGUUGGCCUCCAUGGAGUAGCUAGCUAACGUUAGCCAUCUUAAUUAACAUGAAGAUGUCAACAAGUGCUGUCAGGACGCAUACCAUCACUGUUGCUGUAUGCAGCCCGUUGCUGGUUGCUCAAGGGCAGAUGGAGAACGAAGAAUAGAUUGAUCCGUAUAGAACUACGAUCCAAUCAUAAAGUCCAUGAGAAAGCCUGACGAGUGUAUGAAACAAAAUCAUGAAGUGUGAAAAUACACCAAGCAUGACGAAUACUGCCUUUUAUCGUGAUAUUAAUCUAAUCGGAAAACUAAAGGAAAGUCAUCUUCACCGGCAAGUAAUUACCCUAAUGUACCCACCAAGAGGAGGGAAUACAUGCAGGGCUCAGAUCAAGUGGACGUAACCGAGUGCAACAACAAAGUCGAAGGGUUACAAAGAGAGCCAUCAUGCAACCCAAUGUUCAAGGGAUUCCUCACCAAACUUCUGAAAGAGAGAGCCUGGUGUCUGUGGUUGUCUUAAUCAUAGUGGUCAUCAUCUGCAACAAGCUGUGGUCUACAGUCUCCUUGUUUGUCCAGUUCAAGCAAAUCUUUGCCAUUGGUUUCUCAUCAGUCUGGUCUGGAAUUGGUUCUAUCUCUACAAGGCUAUCACUAUGGCCAUCACCACCUUCUUCAUAGAGCCUCUGAAGCACUUUGGCCAGGGGAUCAGCCAGUUCCUACAAGCCCUCCUCAAGGACAUUAGUGUUUAAAGGCACAGUCAACUUAUCUCGGCAAGCAGUGGCGGAGAUCCAGAAGGUUCUGGAGGGAAUGGACAGCUGGAGAACGGGGACUCUGAACGAUGUCCUCAGCCAGAUCCUGGUGAAUCUCAAACCACAUGACUACAAGGCCUGGAGAUGGCAAUUUGAGGACACCUUUGGUGUGGAGAUCGACACAUCCAUGACGUUUAGAAUGCGUAGUUUAUGUGGUUUGCCUAAGCAAUUUACUGUGGAAAUUUGCAGAGUCACCUUGCGGUCACCAGUCACCUUGCAGAUCCCUGUGCUCCUCACCAUCGUGCUCUCCAUCCUGGUCUUUGUGUACAGCAGCGCCCAGGCUGCCAUCCUGCACGGCAUAUCCAGACACCCUGAGGAACGCCGACAGGCGGUACAGCAAGGACGAGAUCAUCUCGGAGAGGUGGGAGCGUUUCCCCGACGGUGUGCGGCCGGAGGGUUGCUCCAACGCAAAGCAUAUCGACCCUCUAAUGGUAGAGGACCGACAUCCAGGAAGAGGUACUGCAAGAACCAGUUGUAGCUGGAGCCACAACUGAAGGCAAUGACUCACAAGAAGCUUAAUCCUCUCCAGCUAAAGGC
ensembl:lncRNA